rnacentral:rRNA from 1 species
CGACCGGCGCACGGGUGAGUAACGCGUAUCCAACCUGCCUUACACUCUUGGACAGCCUUCUGAAAGGGAGAUUAAUACAAGAUGUUAUCAUGAGUAAGCAUUUUCGCAUGAUUAAAGGUUUACCGGUGUACGAUGGGGAUGCGUUCCAUUAGAUAGUAGGCGGGGUAACGGCCCACCUAGUCUUCGAUGGAUAGGGGUUCUGAGAGGAAGGUCCCCCACAUUGGAACUGAGACACGGUCCAA